rnacentral:rRNA from 1 species
GACAGAGGGUGCAAGCGUUAAUCGGAAUUAUUGGGCGUAAAGCGUGCGUAGGCGGAUUAGUAAGUUGGAUGUGAAAUCCCUGGGCUUAACCUGGGAAUUGCAUUCAAAACUGCUAGUCUAGAGUACAGUAGAGGGAAGUGGAAUUUCCAGUGUAGCGGUGAAAUGCGUAGAUAUUGGAAAGAACAUCAGUGGCGAAGGCGACUUCCUGGACUGAUACUGACGCUCAGGCACGAAAGCGUGGGGAGCAAACAGG